rnacentral:tRNA from 1 species
CGCGUAGUAGCCCAAAAAGAGCAGAGGCAGGAGCACUUGAGCUCCUCAAAGUAUAGGUUCAAAUCCUAUCUGCGCAACCA